CCUACGGGGGGCAGCAGUGGGGAAUAUUGCGCAAUGGGCGAAAGCCUGACGCAGCGACGCCGCGUGAGGGAUGAAGGUCUUCGGAUCGUAAACCUCUGUCAGCAGGGAAGAACGGUCAGUGUGCUAAUCAGCAGUGACUUGACGGUACCUGCAAAGGAAGCACCGGCUAACUCCGUGCCAGCAGCUGCGGUAAUACGGAGGGUGCGAGCGUUAAUCGGAAUUACUGGGCGUAAAGGGCGCGUAGGCGGUAUGUCAAGUCAAGGGUGAAAUCCCCGCGCUCAACGUGGGAACUGCCUUUGAAACUGGCAAACUGGAGUGUGGGAGAGGAAAGUGGAAUGCCAGGUGUAGGAGUGAAAUCCGUAGAUAGCAGGAGGAACAUCAGUGGCGAAGGCGACUAUCUGGCACAUAACUGACGCUGAGGAGCGAAAGCGUGGGUAGCAAACAGGAUUAGAUACCCGAGUAGUC
rnacentral:rRNA from 1 species